ACCUUUCGACACAAACUUGAACUCUGCCCUCAAGAGGGACCACUUGGAGGGAAUAAAGCAGGAUAAAGAGACACCUCGGUCGAGAAAUAUGAAGACAUUACAGUCGAAAAACCUUCGUAAUUGUCUAAAGAGAGCAAAGAGCGGACAUACUUAUUUGUGCAUUCAUAUGGUGUUCUGGAAUACUGAUAUGUCUGACCACAGUACAUAUUGCCAUUGUGUGAUGAUCCAUCCAGUUGCCUCAGAGCCAAGAGAAGAUGACACAAAGUACAAUCAACUCCAUUGAACAGAUGGCCAAGGAUUGACCUUCGAAGUAAUGAUUAAGAGAACAGAUCCAUAAUCCAAAGGGGAUGAAUCAAUACACCCUAAUUCCACAGAAUGCACUGUGGCCAGACUCUAUAGUGGAGGACACCCGGCUCUGGCUGACCCCUGCAGGGGCGCAACAAUUGUAGAACCCUUCCAGCAACUGCAUAGCAGAAGGUGACUGACUGAUUGCAGAUGUAGGGUCAAAGAAGCGUGACAUAUAUUUUUUAUUUAUUUAGCUUAGUACUGUUCUACAGUUCUGAAGAUUAAGACCUAAUGUCCUGUAGUCUCAUUUCAUUUUUUUUAUCUCUACCUGAUUUACCUACUCUACUUAAAGCCUAUUUAUCGGUGGUUAGAUUUUGACACAUUAGUUUCUUGAUAGGUUAAGCGCGGGUCCACUAUCCAGAAAUUCUCAACCAAAAGUGGCUCUAUGAUCAAAAAGGGUUUCUAAUAAAGAGGCCAGUGGCAUGGUAGUGUGUGUGGCUCCACCAAUCCCACCCCUGUGGUCAGAAACUUGACUACUGAUAAAGGGCUGGAGAAUGGCUAACAUACAUUAAAAAAGAUAAGCUAAAGUCUCUAACCAUAUACCAAUAUGGUGGAGCAUUUAUCACUUAAAAUAUUUACUUUUCUCUUUGUCACAAGACUUUUGGUAAUUCCAAGCAAUGAAGUGAUUCAAACAUUAUCCAACAUCCUAAUUUACUAGCAAACAGCUCUUACGAUGUGCAAAAGUAGGCCAUUCCAGAAUUUGUACCCUCUUACUGAAACAUGCACAGACCUUCCUGGAAAAGACACCAUCUUGGAGGCUGUAGUAUUAUGUUAUACUUUUAAUAGUUACAGAGUUAUCUGUGUUUUAUUGUCUUUUCCUAGUUAUUUUAAAGAUAAACGUGAGUGUGCAAAUGUGUAAAUGCUGCAGUAGAGAGUUUCCAAAGCUCAUUUUUUUCAAUUGCUACUACCAGCUUUAAACUUUUAGCCAAUUAUUUUUUUCGAAGAGUUUUUUGUUUUCUUCUUAAUUUUGUACCAUUUUUUAGUUAUUGGCUGGACCUGGGGCAAAAAUAUAGGAAAGUAACUAGGGGGAGGGGGGUUCUAAUACUUUUGACCUGUAAUAUAUACCAUAACCUGAAAUCAAGCUACUGCUGUAGUUGUGUACCUUUUGAGUUAAACCAUUACCUCAGUCCUGUUUUAUCUAAUUAGAUAUAUCUUAUAUUAGCCUUAUAGUUCAGUAAGUAGAUUUUGGGGGCUGAUAAAAAUGGCAAAAAGACACUGCAGCAAUAAUUUACUCUGACCUGAAUGCUUCAUCUCCCCGAAGCAAAAUAUAAACCAGGCUGCUACAGAUGCUGUAUCAUCACAGACUGAAAUAUAAAUAAGUAAUUCCUACCACUUCAAGGUUGAUCUGAGGCCUAUUUGCAAAUAUACUCUCAAACAAUGUGUGUGUGAAGCUCUAUCACAUGAUUAGGCCAAUGCGUUUUUGUAAUGGUUGCUGAUUGGAUAAUGAUCAGGAGUGCUUUCUGGUAUAGAUCAUCCAGUGCCAACAUGACACAACAUGCUAUAAAUGAUCUAACGCUGUUUACUUCCUGACCUCUGUAACUUGGACAUUCAGUUUGACCCCUUCGGAAGAGGAGGUGCUGGCGACCUUUGACCUGUUCAAUAAUUACAGGAGGACAUCAGGGGAAACUGUAAUGAUGUCAUCUGCAAUUGCUCAAAUGGACCCUGGGGGGAGAGAAUUUAGGCAUGGCUUUAAAUGCUGCUGCUAAUCAUCAUAAACGAAAGGAAUCAAUAAACAAAGAAAAAUUGUGUAGUAAACUCUUUACAUACCUGAAAAAAAAGGUUUAUUCUGCACUUGUGGCUGUUUAUGAUACCGGAAGUGUAUACUCAAAUUAAAUACUGAGAGUAGGACAUAUUAAAAAUAUACUAUUAAAGGCGUCUACAUUAUUGAUGUCUAAAUGAAAUGAAAUUGCAGUGAAAUAAUAAA